GAAGGUUUGAAUUUAGAAUGUACAUAAGAUCUUCAAGAGCUGGCUUCCAUUAUCCAAGCUCCAUGCUGGAUCCUGUCUCCUUUGGUGAUCCCUUACUUUCUAGGUCUUCACUCUUUUCAUCUUCAUUUCUUCAUUGAGAAAUGUGAUCAAGACCUCCCCAUCUACACACACACACACACACACACACACACACUAUUACUUCAAUUUUGUCUCUUUCUCCAGCUUUUGCCAUAUUGAUUUUUUUUUCUUUCUUCCUCUCUUCCUGGCUAAGAUUUAUGGAGUACUCUGCCCUCAUUCCACCCACUUUCUCUUCUCCCUUUGACUCCUUGCCUCUACUACUCACUCAUUAAUUUGCAUUUAUUCAACAAUCUUUUUCCCCCUAUAGGUCAGGCAUAGUGCUAGGUGCUUUGGAUACAAAGAUGAGGAACAUUCUAUUCUGACAAUGCACAUAAUCUGGGGGGGGAAAGAAACUCAAAAUUGUAUAGCACAGGGGUUAAGAGCACAGGUAUAGGACUCCAAUUGCCUGGCUGUGAAUCCUAGCUCUCUACUUUCUAAUUGUAGCCUUGAGCAAGUUAUGUUACCUCUCCUCUCUGAACUACAGAUUUCUUGUGGUAUUAUGGGGUUCCCCAGAGUGCCUGCCAUUGUUACAAGGAUUAUAGGAGAUCAUGCAUAUUAAGCAUUUGGUACAGUGCUUGGCUGAUAAUGCUGAACAGUAUGGUUAAUACUACAACACAGAGAGACAAAGCCAAAUAUGGAGGUGCACGAGGAUUCUUUGAAACACAUGAGCAUGGUUCUUAACCUAGAUCUGAGAGGAAAAUGAUGUCGUGAUAUUCUAGAACAGAAGAAAGGCCUUAAAUGAGUCUUAGAGAGUAACCAGGAGUUCACCGGAAGAGAGCAAAGAGAAAGGAAGGCAAGGCUAGCACUGUUCUAGUACAGACUGCUGUAAAUGGAAAGGGACAGAGAGGAGAAAGCCAGCAGCACCUUCCAGAGCUGACCAUGCAGGGUGGGAUGGAAAUGCACCUGCUGAAGCCAGAAGAGCAGGAUCCUCAGCAGUAAGUGUGUGCACCUGCCAAAAGGUCGCCCUUAUGUCCCCAAAGCAGCAGGACCUCAUGCAAGGAGUCCCAGACCCAGUUUUCAUUGGUUUCUGGAGAACAUCUCUCUGGAAGCAGAUAGAGGAAACCAGUGAGUGCCGGUGUUGGAGACUGGGGAGGGCUAAUUUUACGUGUCAUCUAGCCUGGGUCAUGGGUUGCUCAGAUAUUUGGUUAGACACUAUUCUGGUAUGUCUGUGAGAGUGUUCCUGGACAAGAUUAACAUUUGAGUUGGUAGAUUAAGUAAAGUGGCUGCCUUUCCCAAUGUGGGUGGGCAUCCUCCAAUCAGCUGAAGACCUGAAUAGAAGAGAAGGGCUGAGUAAGAAAGCAUUCUUUCUCUCUGCCUGUCUUCAAGUUGGGAUAUAAGUCUUCUCCUGCCUUUAGACUCACCUCAGGCUGGAACUUUACCAUCAGUUCUCCUGGUUCUCAGGCCUUUGGCUCCCCUGGGUCUGGAUCAGGACUUCUCAGACUUCAUAAUUAUAUAAGCCAACUCUCUUUUGCAAGUUCUCUCUCUCUGAGUGUGGUGUGUGUGUGUGUGUGUGUGUGUGUGUUGUGUGUGUGUGUGUGUACAUACACAUCCUAUGGAUUCCGUUUUUCUGGAAACCCCUGAUAUAUUGGGACAACCUCUAUGAUUCCCAUUAAUCUCUGCUUCCAACUUUCCCUACUUUCCACUUGCCCUUAAUAUUCCUAGUUGAGUUAUCUUUCCAACAUGUAUCUCAGCAGGCCAGGCCCUCCCUUCAUAACUUUCCUGGUUACCAGUUCCCUAUAGUCCCUAAUUCCUACUCUAGAGUCCAAGGUCCUUAAAAAUCUGGCCUCAGUCUAUGGUUCAGCCUUCCUUUUUCUCUUUCCUCUGCACCAAUACCACCAUCUUAGACUCAUCUGACCUUUCAUACCUUUGUGACUUUUGUUGUCUCCAUUGUUUGGCAUGUCCCUUUCCCUUUUUUCCCUGGUUGGCUAGCUGCUGGUCAGCCUUUAAAGUCUAUCUAAGGCCAAUGUGCAGUAGCACACACCUCUAAUUCCAGCAGCUAGGGAGGCUGAGGCAGGAGGAUCACAAGUUCAAAGCCAGCCUUCGCAACUCAGCGAGGCCCUAAGCAACUCAGUGUGACCCUGUCUCUAAAUAGAAUAUGAAAAAGGGAAAAGAGAUGUUGCUCAGUGGCUAAGCACCCCUGGGUUCAAUAACCUGUACCAAAAAAUCAGUGAAUAAAUAAAAAGUCCAACUUAGGAGUCAGUAAAUCCAUCCCCAAGUCCCUAAACUCAUACAACCUGAGCUGCACUUCAUUCUCCAUUAUGGCAAGAAUUACAUCUUAUCAUUGUGACCCAAGAGGUCUAUUUUCACUAAUAGACAGAGGGCUCCUCAUAGGAACCAUUGCAGUUUCAGUUUUGCAUCCCAAGGGCCUAGCAUGGGAUAGGCAUUCAAGUCCUAAUUUCCAAAAUGCUAAGCAUGGAUGGAUACAAGAACACUUAGCAGAAAAGUGGGAGAGAUGAAGCAAGCAGGAGAGAGGGUAUAGAAAACACUUGCCACAGCCCAUUCUCCUUUUAAAAUGUCCCAUUGAAUGAACAUCAUGAUUCUCUUUCUGAGGAAUUCUAUAUACCGCAUGCCACUAACAACCAAUAAUCAAAUAUGAACUUGUGUUCAUAAGAUUUGUUUUGUUU
rnacentral:lncRNA from 1 species